rnacentral:rRNA from 1 species
AGAGUUUGAUCAUGGCUCAGAUUGAACGCUGGCGGCAGGCCUAACACAUGCAAGUCGAGCGGCAGCGGGAAGAAGCUUGCUUCUUUGCCGGCGAGCGGCGGACGGGUGAGUAAUGUCUGGGGAUCUGCCCGAUGGCGGGGGAUAACUACUGGAAACGGUAGCUAAUACCGCAUAACGUCGCAAGACCAAAGUGGGGGACCUUCGGGCCUCACACCAUCGGAUGAACCCAGAUGGGAUUAGCUAGUAGGUGGGGUAAUGGCUCACCUAGGCGACGAUCCCUAGCUGGUCUGAGAGGAUGACCAGCCACACUGGAACUGAGACACGGUCCAGACUCCUACGGGAGGCAGCAGUGGGGAAUAUUGCACAAUGGGGGAAACCCUGAUGCAGCCAUGCCGCGUGUGUGAAGAAGGCCUUCGGGUUGUAAAGCACUUUCAGCGGGGAGGAAGGCGAUGGCGUUAAUAGCGCUGUCGAUUGACGUUACCCGCAGAAGAAGCACCGGCUAACUCCGUGCCAGCAGCCGCGGUAAUACGGAGGGUGCAAGCGUUAAUCGGAAUUACUGGGCGUAAAGCGUACGCAGGCGGUCUGUUAAGUCAGAUGUGAAAUCCCCGGGCUUAACCUGGGAACUGCAUUUGAAACUGGCAGGCUAGAGUCUCGUAGAGGGGGGUAGAAUUCCAGGUGUAGCGGUGAAAUGCGUAGAGAUCUGGAGGAAUACCGGUGGCGAAGGCGGCCCCCUGGACGAAGACUGACGCUCAGGUACGAAAGCGUGGGGAGCAAACAGGAUUAGAUACCCUGGUAGUCCACGCUGUAAACGAUGUCGAUUUGAAGGUUGUGGCCUUGAGCCGUGGCUUUCGGAGCUAACGCGUUAAAUCGACCGCCUGGGGAGUACGGCCGCAAGGUUAAAACUCAAAUGAAUUGACGGGGGCCCGCACAAGCGGUGGAGCAUGUGGUUUAAUUCGAUGCAACGCGAAGAACCUUACCUACUCUUGACAUCCAGAGAACUUGGCAGAGAUGCUUUGGUGCCUUCGGGAACUCUGAGACAGGUGCUGCAUGGCUGUCGUCAGCUCGUGUUGUGAAAUGUUGGGUUAAGUCCCGCAACGAGCGCAACCCUUAUCCUUUGUUGCCAGCGAUUCGGUCGGGAACUCAAAAAAGACUGCCGGUGAUAAACCGGAGGGUAAUGCCUUCAAAUAGUUGACUUUUGUGAUAUUCUGCCUCUAUUUGAGGUUUCCACGUGGUUACAGUUUCUGUUCAUUGUCCUCGCUGCCAUUCAGAUA